GUCCGUUGCUCGCAUUCGAGAAUACACACAGUCGUGGAAAUAUCCGAUCCCUUCCAAGCCAACGCCCCCCACUCCUUUGUCGCGUGUUUCCCUACGUUAACGCGUGCCAUCGACACGAGAGCAGUGAGUCAGUGGUGCGCGGGCCUUCGUGGCGUAAGGACGUGCGCCAUGCUCGUCGCGUUGCUCGAGUGAACGCGUGUGCUCCUUCAUUCACCCCGUGUGAGUGCGUGUACAAUCACAGAAAAAAUACUCCGAUCUUUACUGCCUUUCGCCGAUCGAACCUUUCGUCUAUCGCGAUACAUCUUGUUGCGCCGAUUUUCUCGUUUUUUUCUCCCCCCUCCCCCUCUCUGCCUAGCCUCGAUCGUGUCUCUUUAUCGAUGACAAGGAAAUAGAGGGAAAUUGUGAAGGAAGCAAUUCUGAAAUGAUAGAACCAGUAAUUAAGGAGGAAACAAGGGGAAAGGUGGAAAAAUCGCGAAACUCUCGAUAGCUGACCUGGUUACGUCUAUUCGUAUCAAAGCAGAAGCAAAAUGGUGAUGCUCUUCACUAAAGAAUUUAUUAUCCUCGAAGAGGGAGACGGAUCCAAGAUGGAUUUAAAAGAGAUCAGAGGUUAAUAACCUUGACUUGGAUUGGAUUAAGUGAAUUCAACGAACGUUUAAAAUAUUCUCAAAAAUACUAUUCUUUAUUUAUAUUUAAAAUUUCUUCGUCAAAUGCUCGACACUGUCAAAAUCUUCUAUUUCAAAAUCUUUAUCUUUUGCUUCGAUUGAAAAAUUUUAUUUAU